AACGAACGCUGGCGGCAUGCCUAACACAUGCAAGUCGAACGAGACCUUCGGGUCUAGUGGCGCACGGGUGCGUAACGCGUGGGAACCUGCCCUUAGGUUCGGAAUAACUCCCCGAAAGGGGUGCUAAUACCGGAUAAUGUCUUCGGACCAAGGAUUUAUCGCCUUUGGAUGGGCCCGCGUUGGAUUAGCCUGUUGGUAGGGUAAAAGCCUACCAAGGCGCGGAUCCAUAGCUGGUCUGAGAGGAUGUUCAGCCACACUGGGAUUGGGACACGGCCCAUACUCUAGGGGGGGGAGGGGGAGGGGAAACUAGGGCAGGGGGCGAAAGCCUAUACCGCCAUGGCCGGGAUGGUGAUCAGGGCCUUGGGUUGUAAAGCUCUUUUACCCGGGAUGAUAAUGACAGUACCGGGAGAAUAAGCUCCGGCUAACUCCGUG
rnacentral:rRNA from 1 species